CUCGUAGGUGGCCAACUAAGUCAGACGUGAAAUCCCUCGGCUUAACCGGGGAACUGCAUCUGAUACUGGAUGGCUUGAGAUUGGGAGAGGGAUGCGGAAUUCCAGGUGUAGCGGUGAAAUGCGUAGAUAUCUGGAGGAACACCGGUGGCGAAGGCGGCAUCCUGGACCAACACUGACGCUGAGGAGCGAAAGCCAGGGGAGCGAAC
rnacentral:rRNA from 1 species